GGGCCCGUAGCUUAGUACGGUUAGAGCGCCCGGCUCAUAACCGGGCGGCCAAGGGUUCAAAUCCCUUCGGGCCCA
rnacentral:tRNA from 3 species